GAUGAACGCUGGCGGCGUGCCUAAUACAUGCAAGUAGAACGCUGAAGGAAGGAGCUUGCUCUUUCCGGAUGAGUUACGAACGGGUGAGUAACGCGUAGGUAACCUGCCUGGUAGCGGGGGAUAACUAUUGGAAACGAUAGCUAAUACCGCAUAACAGUAGAUGUUGCAUGAUAUCUACUUAAAAGGUGCAAUUGCACCACUACCAGAUGGACCUGCGUUGUAUUAGCUAGUUGGUGAGGUAACGGCUCACCAAGGCGACGAUACAUAGCCGACCUGAGAGGGUGAUCGGCCACACUGGGACUGAGACACGGCCCAGACUCCUACGGGAGGCAGCAGUAGGGAAUCUUCGGCAAUGGACGGAAGUCUGACCGAGCAACGCCGCGGGAGUGAAGAAGGUUUUCGGAUCGUAAAGCUCUGUUGUAAGAGAAGAACGAGUGUGAGAGUGGAAAGUUCACACUGUGACGGUAUCUUACCAGAAAGGGACGGCUAACUACGUG
rnacentral:rRNA from 1 species